rnacentral:rRNA from 1 species
GACGAACGCUGGCGGCGUGCUUAAUACAUGCAAGUCAACUGAACUUUAGGUAGCAAUAUUUAAAGGGAGGUGGCGCACGGGUGAGUAACACGUAGGUAAUCUGCCUUCAGGACUGACAUAACUCCGCGAAAGCGGGACUAAAAUCAGAUGAUGCAGCGGCUCGACAUCGAGACAGUUGUUAAACCUUCGGGGCCUGAAGAUGAGCCUGCGUCUGAUUAGGUAGUUGGAGGGGUAAUGGCCCACCAAGCCUGCGAUCAGUAGCUGGUCUGAGAGGAUGAUCAGCCACACUGGAACUGAGACACGGUCCAGACUCCUACGGGAGGCAGCAGUAAGGAAUAUUGCUCAAUGGCCGAAAGGCUGAAGCAGCAACGCCGCGUGGAGGAUGAAAUACUUUAGUAUGUAAACUCCUGUAAGAGGGGAAAAAUAUACAGUUCUGCUGUAUUGAUUGUACCCUCAGAGUAAGCACCGGCUAACU